rfam:Gossypium raimondii chromosome 1, whole genome shotgun sequence.
AACCCAUAAUGAGGGCACCUUCUCAAUAAGUCUUUAUACCUCUCCCAUGCAUCAUAUAAGGUUUUUAAGUUGAUCUGAAUGAAGGAAGAGAUACCAUUCCUCAAU